GAUGAACGCUGGCGGCGUGCCUAAUACAUGCAAGUCGAGCGAACAGACGAGGCGCUUGCUCCUCUGACGUUAGCGGCGGACGGGUGAUUACCACGUGGAUACCCUACCUAUAAGACUGGGAUAACUUCGGGAAACCGGAUCUCAUACCGGAUAAUAUAUUGAACCGCAUGGUUCAAUAGUGAAAGACGGUUUUGCUGUCACUUAUAGAUGGAUCCGCGCCGCAUUAGCUAGUUGGUAAGGUAACGGCUUACCAAGGCAACGAUGCGUAGCCGACCUGAGAGGGUGAUCGGCCACACUGGAACUGAGACACGGUCCAGACUCCUACGGGAGGCAGCAGUAGGGAAUCUUCCGCAAUGGGCGAAAGCCUGACGGAGCAACGCCGCGUGAGUGAUGAAGGUCUUCGGAUCGUAAAACUCUGUUAUUAGGGAAGAACAAAUGUGUAAGUAACUAUGCACGUCUUGACGGUACCUAAUCAGAAAGCCACGGCUAACUACGUG
rnacentral:rRNA from 1 species